AUGUUUUUGUUUAUUGUUAUCAUCAUCCAAAAAUUAUCGAAUGAAAAUUUAAUGGCCAAAUCGAUCGAUCCUGGUGUUUUUAUUAUGGUUAUUUUCGCAACUAAACAAAUGGGUCAGAUGAUGAUGGUGUUGAAAAAUCCAAAUAAAACCCAAAUCUAUCAGUAAGUGAUCAAGUUGCUAGAUAUAUUGGACCAUCAUUGUCAUAUUCGUUCGGUCCUGUAUUUUCCGGGUUUGAAUCAUUCGUACAUUUUUACAACGAAAGGUGUCAACAUCAAAAUCAUAAUGGGGCCAUAAAAUGUACACACACACACACACCGUUUCAUCUAAUAUUUGAUCAUUUCCAAAAGUUUUCUUGGAUGCUAAUUGUGUAUGUUUCCAGUUUCAACAUCUAUUAAAAACUGCCCACGUCUUGUUACUUCUAUUUUUAUUUUCUCAAUCCAUGGCCAUCAUUGUCACAAUCUAUCAUCAUCAUCAUUGAAUGAGCAUACAUUUUCAGUAACAAGCUACUGGGUAAAGAAGAAAAAAAAUUCAUAUCAUUACUAUUCAAUACUAUUAUAUGUCAGAUCAAAUAAAUCAAUCAAAAAUUAGUCAAUUCAAAUGUCCAGGAAGUAAUUUCUAGCAUCAGAUGGCCAACAUAUUGAUGUCAUAAUUUUUUGCUCGACUAAUCAACUCACAAUCAAUCAUCAUCAUCAACAUUAAUUAAUUGGCCUUGUAUAUAUAUGGGUUGUGUAAUGUCAUUUUUAGUAUCAUCAACUAAGUCAUUUGCUUCUGCAUAUUAUCAGUAUCAUUAUUCAUUAUUUCGUUUAUCUUUCUCAGAACAGAUCACAUCAUCAUAAUUGAAUGAAUGGAAUGACUCAGUCAGUCAUAUCUUUCAUUGAUGAUGAUGAUUCAAUUUGACAUUGGAAAAUGAUAAAUUAAAAGUGAUUAUUGUGCCAUUCUUACACACACCUCAAUGACCAUUAUUUCAAUUUGGAUUUCCGACAAUGAAAUGAAUCAUUCAAAUUCACUUUAUGUCCGGCUCAAUGUUUUUUUAGUCGCAUUUAGCUUCCCAUUUUUAAAUUCAAUUCACUUCUCCCACACAACCACUCAUUUGCUAUCGAAAAGUAACACAAAUUUAUUGUGUUCCAUUUAUAGAAAAAAUCAGUUCGUAUCGUAUACGAGGAGGAAGAAAUGAAGAAAAUUUAACAACAACAACAACAAAUAUUCAUAAUUUAAUUUCAUCGUUUAUUAAUAUCAUUCUAAUACAAUGCCAAGAAUAUCGUCGUUUGUAUUGGAAUCGAAUCUAAAACCUCCUUCAAAUAUUGAUCAUCAUCAUCAUCAUCAUUUUUAUUCGAAAUGAAUUUCACAACUACAAAUAAUUAUCACCAUCAAUUCAAUUCAAUUCCAUUCCAUUGAAUGGAGAAAAAAGGUGCAUCAUUGUUUCCAACAAGGUAUUUUGUUUGAAUGUGGCCAAUAUAUGCUGUUGAUGAUAAUCGAAAAUCAUAAUCAUAAUCAUCAUCCUUAUAGUUAUAUCAUCAUCAUCGACAGACGACAAUCGAAACAAAUGUUGAUGACCUUCAUGUAUUUGUGCUCACACACAAUAAAGUUAUCAUUUCAAUUGAUCAUAAGGAUCGCCUACGCCGCUCUACUAUUCAACAUUUAUUAUGUCAUCAAUGGUGAAUUACUAGUGGUUUUUUUUAAAAUUUCACACUUGAAUCCAAAAAAAUUACGUACGUCUGUGAAUUUUGGACCAUCGAUUGAAAAGACAAUUGUCUAAUCAUCUAAUCAUCAUCAAUGGUCAUGAUGAACUUUCAUUAUCAUUAUCGAACAUCUAUCGCAGUUAAGAACACGUGCUGUUGAACUUGA